rnacentral:lncRNA from 1 species
CCCCUCCGCUCCUGCCGCCCUUCCUGUUUCUCUUGCAACUGGGACAUCAGGUGUGGAAUCAGCUGCCCGGUUCUGUCUGUCGAGUGAAUCUGACUAACACAGCAAGGCCCUGAUUGCCCUCAUCGGUGCUCCCAGCAAACCUUCCGUUAUGUCUCUGAUGAUGUUUUCCUGCAGAGGUUAAGUCCGCAGACGUCUGCAAUGAAUAUGAUUGCAAGUGUGAAGGUGACAUGAUUUACUUAAAUCAGGCAAUUUCUCCAUUACAGCGCAGAAGCCUCAACUCGUAAAGACACUCUUCAGCAGAUGAACUAUAACGUCGCCCGGCAUCCGUCAUAUUAGGUGAUUUGAAAGGAAAGAACAAUUAUAAAAAUGAAUGUAAUUCCCUGUUGAAGAUUAAAAAAAUCCAGUUU